rnacentral:rRNA from 1 species
CCUACGGGUGACAGCAGUGGGGAAUCUUCCGCAAUGGGCGAAAGCCUGACGGAGCAACGCCGCGUGAUCGAAUGAAGGCCUUCGGGUUGUAAAGAUCUGUUGACAGGGACAAAUAAGCAAUGCGAAUAGUUUUGUGUAUGACGGUACCUGUUUAGAAAUCUCCUGCUAACUACGUGCCAGCAGCCGCGGUAAUACGUAGGGAGCAAGCGUUGUGCGGAAGUACUGUGCGUAAGGGGCGCGUAGUUGGGCGCUUAAGUCAGUUGUGAAAACUCCGGGCUCAACCUGGAGACUGCACUUGAAACUGGGUGUGUUGAGGGCAGGAGAGGAAAGGGGAAUGCCUAGUGUUGCGGUGAAAUGCGUAGAUAUUAGGAGGAACACCAGUGGCGAAGGCGACUUUCUGGACUGUACCUGACGCUGAGGCGCGAAAGCGUGGGUAGCGAACGGGAUGAGAUACCCUAGUAGUC